AUGUGGAUAGUGGUUUUUCUCACUGAUCCCUCCAAGUUGUUCAGGAUCACUGCACUGCCACAAAUGGAGAAGUCCAUUACAUUCGAUUAUACCACAGUGUGUCAGUCUCUGUGUACAAUAUUCUCCUGGUUCUGCUCCUCUCACUCUGCAUCACUUCCUGGAGGUUAUUCCAGUUACCAUGGAAUUGCUCCACUUUAUUAUUCCUUUGAGCACAAUAGUAUUCCAUCACCAACAUAUACCACAAUUUGUUCAGCCAUUCCCCAAUUGAAGGGGGGCAUCCCCUCAUUUUCCAAUUUUUUGCCACCACAAAGAGCACAGCUAUGAAAAUUGUUGUACAUAUCUUUUUCCUUAUUAUCUCUUUGGGGUACAACCCCAGCAGUGCUAUGGCUGGAUCAAAGGGCAGACAGUCUUUUAGAAUCCUUUGGGCAUAGUUCCAAAUUGCCCUCCAGAAUGGUUGGAUCAAUUCACAACUCCACCAGCAAUGAAUUAAUGUCUCCACUUUGCCACAUCACCUCCAACAUUCAUUAUUUUCCUUUGCUGUCAUGUUAGCCAAUCUGCUAGGUGUGAGGUGAUACCUCAGAGUUGUUUUGAUUUGCAUUUCUCUGAUUAUAAGAGAUUUAGAACACUUUUUCAUGUCCUUAGUAAUAGUUUGGGUUUUGUUAAGAUUAAAUUUUAUGGUUGAGACUGAAAUAUAAAUAUUAUUGGUCACCAAGGAUUUAAUUCCUUAAAUCCUAAAAUGAAACACUCAAGUUAGAAUGGAGUUUUAUGGUGAUUUAAUUACAAUAGGAGGAAGAAAUUAAGAAAGACAGAGAGAGAGAAAGAGAGAGUAACUCAACUGCCCUGGCUCAGGCUGAGCUGUAGGCAGGGGUUCAAGGUUUUUAGCCAAAGGCAGCUUUCCCCUGAGAAAAGAAGUCAGUCCUUAUCACUCACCCACAUGACCGAUUCAAGGAAAGCUGUCUGUGGGGCUCCUCCAAGCUCAAGUUCCAGGAUCAAACUGGCGUCUAGCCCUCUCCACAGGAAGUGAUGAGAACUACAAAAGCAGUUCUCUACAUCACUUCCUGCAUCUCACAUGUGCCAAUGGUGGCUCAAGCUUGGCUUAGGACAGCCCAGAGGGACAGUCAGUUGUUUCUGAUUUGUCAUUAGCUAGCACAUGCCCAUGUAGUGUGGGUGUGCACAUUCCUGGGUGCUAGACCAAGAAAGAUGGAGAAAAUCUAAAAGUCACAAUCCCCCCUGAUGAUGAUUGGGGGACUAGUCUCCCCAAUUGAUCACUAAACAUAAGCUUCCUGUACCCCAAAAAUUUCUAACUGCAAGUGUAUACAAAAUUUUACCCUCUAAGAGGAAAACUACAAUAGUUAUAGAUAAAGGGGAAAUAGAAGAGAGAGAGAAAGACAGCAAAACCAAUGUUUUUGCUGGGCUCAUUGACAAAACCAGUUGGGGGAAGUCCCCUUUUGGCAUAAGAGUGUACAUUCAAAAUAAAUCUUCAAUCAACCUUCA
rnacentral:lncRNA from 1 species